UACAGAGGUGGCUAGCGUUGUUCGGAUUUACUGGGCGUAAAGGGCGCGUAGGCGGCCCCGUGUGUCGCGUGUGAAAUCCCCGGGCUCAACCCGGGAAGUGCGCGCGAAACUGCGGGGCUGGAGCAGAGGAGGGGAGAGCGGAAUUCAUGGUGUAGCGGUGAAAUGCAUAGAUAUCACGAGGAACUCCGAUUGCGCAGGCAGCUUACUAAACUACUACUGACGCUCAGGCACGAAAGCGUGGGGAGCAAACAGGAUUAGAUACCCCU
rnacentral:rRNA from 1 species